rnacentral:rRNA from 1 species
UGGGCCCAUAGGGUUCGUAGCUCGGGAACUGAGGGUAAUACCCCAUAGGUGUUCGAAACUGGAAUGUUCUUACACCCAAAGCUCCGGCGCUCAAGGAUGGGUCUGCGGCUGAUUAGCUAGUAGGUGGUGUAACGGACCACCUAGGCGAUAAUCAGUAUGGGUUGUGAUAGCAAUAGCCCAGAGAUGGACUCUUAGACACUAGUCCAAGCCUUACGGGGUGCAGCAGGCGCGAAACCUUUACAAUGCACGAAAGUGUGAUAAGGGAAUUCCAAGUGCACUUGUACCACAAGUGCUUUUCAGGAGUGCAAAUUAUUCCUGGAAUAAGGGGUGGGUAAGACUGGUGCCAGCCGCCGCGGUAAAACCAGCACCUUAAGUGGCAGUCGAUUUUAUUGGGCUUAAAGCGUUUGUAGCCGGUCUAGUGGGUUCCUGGUGAAAUCUAUCUGCUUAACAGAUAGGCGUGCUGGGAAAACUACUAGGCUUGAGGACGGGAGAGGUUAGGGGAACUUCUUGGGUAGGGGUGAAAUCCUAUAAUCCCUGAAGGACCAACAGUGGCGAAAGCGCCUAACAUGAACGUGCCUGACGGUGAGAAACGAAAGCUAGGGUAGCGAAACGGAUUAGAUACCCGUGUAGUCCUAGCCGUAAACUAUGUAGACUAGGUGGAGUGUGACUCUAGUGGUCAUGCUAUGCCGAAGAGAAAUCGUUAAGUCUACCGCCUGGGGAGUACGCUCGCAAGAGUGAAACUUAAAGGAAUUGGCGGGGGAGCAC